rnacentral:rRNA from 1 species
UACGUAGGGUGCAAGCGUUAAUCGGAAUUACUGGGCGUAAAGCGUGCGCAGGCGGUUUUGUAAGUCAGAUGUGAAAUCCCCAGGCUUAACCUGGGAACUGCAUCCGAUACUGGAUGGCUUGAAUCCGGGAGAGGGAUGCGGAAUUCCAGGUGUAGCGGUGAAAUGCGUAGAUAUCUGGAGGAACACCGGUGGCGAAGGCGGCAUCCUGGACCGGCAUUGACGCUGAGGAGCGAAAGCCAGGGGAGCAAACGGG